AAGACCUUGCGCUUUUGGAGCGGCCGAUGCCUGAUUAGCUUGUUGGUAAGGUAAAAGCUUACCAAGGCUUCGAUCAGUAGCUGGUCUGAGAGGACGACCAGCCACACUGGGACUGAGACACGGCCCAGACUCCUACGGGAGGCAGCAGUGGGGAAUUUUGGACAAUGGGGGCAACCCUGAUCCAGCCAUGCCGCGUGAGUGAAGAAGGCCUUCGGGUUGUGAAGCUCUUUCAGCCGGAACGAAACGGUUACGGUUAAUACCCGUGAUUACUGACGGUACCGGAAGAAGAAGCACCGGCUAACUACGUGCCAGCAGCCGCGGUAAUACGUAGGGUGCGAGCGUUAAUCGGAAUUACUGGGCGUAAAGCGUGCGCAGGUGGUUUUGUAAGUCAGAUGUGAAAGCCCCGGGCUCAACCUGGGAACU
rnacentral:rRNA from 1 species